GUGUCAGCAGCCGCGGUAAUACGGAGGGUGCAAGCGUUGUCCGGAUUUAUUGGGUUUAAAGGGUGCGUAGGCGGCCUUGUAAGUCAGUGGUGAAAGCCUCCAGCUCAACUGGAGAACUGCCAUUGAUACUGCAAGGCUUGAGUACAGACGAGGUUGGCGGAAUUGAUUGUGUAGCGGUGAAAUGCAUAGAUACAAUCAAGAACUCCGAUUGCGUAGGCAGCUAACUAGGCUGUAACUGACGCUGAGGCACGAAAGCGUGGGGAGCGAACAGGAUUAGAAACCCCCGUAGUCC
rnacentral:rRNA from 1 species